AAAGAUGCGACGACUUUU
rnacentral:sRNA from 1 species